GUGCCAGCCGCCGCGGUAAUACGAAGGGGGCUAGCGUUGCUCGGAAUUACUGGGCGUAAAGGGCGCGUAGGCGGCUCGGUCAGUCAGGCGUGAAAUUCCUGGGCUUAACCUGGGGACUGCGCUUGAUACUGUCGAGCUUGAGGCCGAGAGAGGGUGGUGGAAUUCCCAGUGUAGAGGUGAAAUUCGUAGAUAUUGGGAAGAACACCGGUGGCGAAGGCGACCACCUGGCUCGGUACUGACGCUGAGGCGCGACAGCGUGGGGAGCAAACAGGAUUAGAAACCCCCGUAGUCC
rnacentral:rRNA from 1 species